rnacentral:rRNA from 1 species
UACGAGGGGUCUAAGCGUUGUUCGGAAUCACUGGGCGUAAAGCGGGUGUAGGUGGCUAGACAAGUCAGAUGUGAAAUCCCCGGGCUCAACCCGAGAAGUGCAUCUGAUACUAUUUAGCUUGAGUACGGGAGAGGGAAACAGAAUUCCUGGUGUAGUGGUGAAAUACGUAGAUAUCAGGAGGAACACCGGUGGCGAAGGCGGUUUCCUGGACCAGUACUGACACUCAGACGCGAAAGCGUGGGUAGCAAACAGG